rnacentral:rRNA from 1 species
GCAUGUGGUUUAAUUCGAAGCAACGCGCAGAACCUUACCAACCCUUGACAUCCAGGACCGGCCCAGAGAUGGGUCUUUCACUUCGGACCUGACAGGUGCUGCAUGGCUGUCGUCAGCUCGUGUCGUGAGAUGUUCGGUUAAGUCCGGCAACGAGCGCAACCCACAUCCUUAGUUGCCAGCAGUUCGCUGGGCACUCUAGGGAAACUGCCCGUGAUAAGCGGGAGGAAGGUGUGGAUGACGUCAAGUCCUCAUGGCCCUUACGGGUUGGGCUACACACGUGCUACAAUGGCAGUGACAAUGGGUUAAUCCCAAAAAACUGUCUCAGUUCGGAUUGGGGUCUGCAACUCGACCCCAUGAUCGGAAUCGCUAGUAAUCGCGUAACAGCAUGACGCGGUGAAUACGUUCCCGGGCCUUGUACACACCGCCCGUCACACCAUGGGAGUUGGUUCUACC